rnacentral:misc_RNA from 1 species
CUAAGGAAUGUAAAACUUACCACGAAUCCGAAGACAUUUUCAGAUUUUCAAGAACCGGAUAUCACAAGAGACUUUCCAUGCGCAUGCGCGAUGAACUUCAACAAGUGCUUUCAACUUUGACCCAGUUGUUGUUAUCAGAAAGUUCACAAGAACUCAAGCGGGAUAAGAUGAACAAGAAAAAACGAAUCGCUUCUUUCUAACGCUGCUUUCGGCAGUAAAACUAGACAGGAUGAGGCUGUAUCUUCGUAAGUUUCUCCAGGCACUAGCCUGCUUUACAUUUUUGACAUUUAUGAACAUUUUGUACUUAAAAAACGGAGAGAAUUUUGAUGGGUUUGAAAGUGACCAAAGUUUGAGACAUUUGUCCCAAGAUGGCGACAGUGCUUUAGUGAAAGGACCUCAAGCACCCCUGAAGAAAAGGUCAUUAGAAAAUCAAAUUCAUCACAGAUCAAAACGUGAAGUCUACAAUAGACGACAAAGUAAAACAAUCAGACAACUCAAAAAUACUGACAAUAAUACCAAAGAAGAUGAGCAUGAAAUUGAGCUACAGGACUUGUACAUCUCCAUAAAAACUACAGAAAAGUUUCAUAAAACUAGAUUGGAGUUACUUUUACAGACAUGGAUUGUAAUGGCAAGAGAUCAGACGUUUAUAUUCACGGAUACAGAUGACGAAGAGUAUACCAAGAAAACAAAUCAUCAUAUGAUCAACACAAAUUGCUCAAAGGGACAUAGUAGGUCUGCUCUGUGUUGUAAGAUGUCAGUGGAGUUUGACACAUUCAUUGCAGCUAAUAAAAGAUGGUGGUGCCAUGUGGAUGAUGACACAUAUGUCAAUGUACCUGCACUCCUGCGGCUGCUACGUCAGUACGACAGUCAUGAAGACUGGUACCUGGGCAAGCCAAGUCUCACACAUCCCAUAGAAGCCAGGAAUAUGGCUACCAAUCAAAAAGAAGCAUUCUGGUUUGCAACUGGUGGUGCUGGCUUCUGCCUUAGUAGAUCUCUAGCAUUGAAGAUGGUCUCACAUGCAGGAGGAGGCAAGUUUAAAUCUGUAUGCAACAAUAUCCGCUUGCCAGAUGACUGUACUAUAGGAUACAUUAUAUAUACCCAGUUGCAGAAAAAGUUGACAGUCGUAAGCAGUUUCCAUUCCCAUCUAGAAGGUCUCUGGAGAGUGAGGGACCUUGAAGAUCAGCUGACAUUCAGUUAUUCCUCAUUUGCCAACCAGAAGCAGAAUCUUGUUAGUGUGUCAGGGUUUGAUGAGAACAGAGACCCAACCAGGUUCUGGUCUAUCCAUUGCCAUCUGUUCCCCUACCUCAAGGACUGUGCCAGAUAUAGCUCAACCAAACACUCUGAACAAGUGGUCAACAGGUGACCACAUCAUUGAGGCAUAUGAGCCAAGCAGAACCAUUGGAAGAAUUGAGAUGUACAGUAGUCUUCAAACUGUCUUUCUAAAGCUCUAUGGAGAUGACCUUUGGGCCUCAAUGAUGAUUGACAUAGCUUUAUGUAAAUCUCUUGUUUCUCAUUGUUCCAAUUAAGUAUUGGCUGUAACCGAUGGAGAUGGCUCAAAGUGGCCUUAUUACUCAUUAUAGGGACCAAGACGUCACUUGUUGGCAAAAUCUGAUCUCAAUAAAAUGGCCUCCGUGACUGUAUAGCAUUGAACUGUGUUAGACGCUAUAUUCAAUUACAAUUAAAUAUUGUUUCAAAGUCAUCUUACAUAUAUUGCAUUGAUACUACGAAGAACAAUUUGAUAUUGAAACCUUCGCCCUGUAGAACACUAUUAUUCAUAGACGGGUUUUAGGCUGCUUAUUGCAAUGUAUCUUAAAAUAUUGGAGCAAUAUUUGCAUGUUCUUGAAAAGGAAGUGCCAAACAAUUCAUUGAAAGCCAUUGCAAAUAUAACAAUUACAGUGAACAACAUAAACAUUUGGAUUAGAUCCAUAGAUCCAUGCCUAGCAUGAAAAACACUUGAACUAAAAGUGAAACAUGUGAAUGUAAAACAGAAUUUGCCGUGAUUAGCAAAAUCCACCUUAAGGUGUUCACUUGUCUGAUUUGCUGAUGUUAAGUGCAGUGUGAAGAACGUAUACAGUGGAGUAGCUAACGAACAACAUCAAGUGUAAAUAAACAUACAAUAUACAUUUAUUGGCCAUGAUAUAGAAAGGCUAUAUUUCAUAUAAUGUUAGUAGCUUUGUUCUCUAGGAGAAUGAUUAAGUCCUUGUGGUCAGCUGGAGGUUUCUGUCCAGUACUAUACACUACCAUUCCAUAUUUCCGUGGUAACUGGAU